rnacentral:rRNA from 1 species
UACGAAGGGGGGCUAGCGUUGUUCGGAAUUACUGGGCGUAAAGCGCGCGCAGGCGGUCUUCCAAAGUCAGUGGUGAAAGCCCGGAGCUCAACUCCGGAACUGCCAUUGAAACUGUUAGACUUGAGGACGAGAGAGGUGAGUGGAAUUCCCAGUGUAGAGGUGAAAUUCGUAGAUAUUGGGAAGAACACCGGUGGCGAAGGCGGCGAUCUGGGUCGAUACUGACGCUGAGGUGCGAAAGCGUGGGGAGCAAACAGG